rnacentral:rRNA from 1 species
GACGUAGGGCGCGAGCGUUGUCCGGAUUUAUUGGGCGUAAAGAGCUCGUAGGCGGCUUGUCGCGUCGAAUGUGAAAACUCGGGGCUCAACUCCGAGCUUGCAUUCGAUACGGGCAGGCUAGAGUUCGGUAGGGGAGACUGGAAUUCCUGGUGUAGCGGUGAAAUGCGCAGAUAUCAGGAGGAACACCGGUGGCGAAGGCGGGUCUCUGGGCCGAUACUGACGCUGAGGAGCGAAAGCGU